AUCUUCACAACUACCUUCUUGAGUUUAAGAUCUUUCUUAAUGCAAUAUGAUAUCCAAUGCCCUCGCAAUUUUUGCUUUCAUUUCUUUGUACUAGACUAAUAUCUAUUGACACACUUAAAUGUAAAAGCUCAUGUGCAACCGUUAUUAUAUUUUUGGUAGAGAUGGAUAUACUUAUUACUUAUUGUGUUUCAACUGUUUUUGGACUUAGAUUUUACACAAAAUCAUGGUUUGCUCGGAGUUGAGUUGAGGUAAAUGGAAUCUUUAACUCAUGAUUGUUCUCCUCAUCCUAAGAAAAGGAAGAAAAAGAAAGGACGGGCUAUGAUAUAUUUAAUGACUUGAAAGAUAGGUUUUUAAGUUUUAAAAAGAACAAAUACCUGAAAAAUAUUGAACAUUUUGAAAAUCUUGCAAAGGUUCAAGCCAAGAAUGAUCAAGAAAAUAUUAGUGAUAAAUUGUCUGGGGUUGAUCAGGGGACUAGUUAUAAUUCAAACAAUUUGGUUAAUCAGGAAGUGAUAGAAACUGUGGUUGUAAUUGAGUAUAUUCAGACCAAGUAUGUGUCAAUGAAGAUAAUACGAAAUUGGAAGCAAAAGUUGAUGAAUCAGGGUUGAGCUUGGUAUCCAUGAAAGCACCAAAAGGGGUGUCUGAAACUGAUAAAAAUUCAUGUGUGAUUGAUAUAAAGUGCAGCAGCCGCAAAAAAAUUUACAAGAGUUCUGAAGAUGAAAGGAUUUGUAGGAUUUGCCAUUUGACUUCUGAGCAAUCAUCGAAUGCAACAACUGUUGGCACUUCUGAUAGUGCUGCAAGCGCAAAUUUGAUUCAGCUGGGUUGUCCGCGUAAAGACAAGCUAGGCAUUGCACAUGUUCAUUGUGUUGAGGUAUGGUUCAAGCUUAAGGGGAACAUGUAUUUGUUCUUGCCAAAUAUCAGUUUGAUUAUCAAGAAUAACAUUAGUCUUAUUUUUUAGGCUUUGCAUUGAACCUUUUAACAUUUAUCAUGUUCCUGGCAUUUUCUACUUAUUUUGAAUUCCUAAAUAUAUAGUGAUUUAUAAGCUCCUGUCGCGUAAUUAUCCAGUUUGGCACAAUUUCUGAUAGCAAAUGUUUCGCUUGCCCUUCUGUUGCUCUGUGUUUGUGCAAGUUCCUGUCUCUGAGUGGUGAAUUGGACAAAUAUUUAGGAUAUGCAAGAUUAUGGAUUAGACAUAAACACAAUUAGCAAAUUGCUUCAAGGGUUUAUGAAUUGAGUUUAAUUGAUAUCCAUAUGAUGCCAUCAAGUGAUCAAAUCCUAGUUUGGCAACUAGUAAAUUAUUGCAUUUGAUUGUCAUAUUCUUGUUCAUUGUCCUUGAUAUUUGAAAAAAUGCUCUUGUUCAGAUGUUUGAAAAAGUGUCUUGGUGAAGAUUCUUUUGGAUAUGAUGUUUUUAUGUCCAUGACAUAUGGAGUAUGGAUUAGGAAAAGUUAAGUGUAUAGUCUUAUCACCACAAAAUGAAUUUUUAUUAGAUAUAAUAGGGACAUAUCACCCCCCUCCCCCCUUUUCCUAGAAUAGUAGUUUUUCAUUGGAUAAUUCUAAGGUUUCUUUGGAAAAGUGGAUAUAUUUCACUAAUAUGAAGCUGAUACAAUCAGGAGUUAUAAUAUAGGAGAUUAAUUCUAUAAACUAAUAUAGGCCUAAAAAUUAGGGAAAUAAUUAUUCCUGUAAAUGCCAUAGCCAAAAAACU